CCAUCAAGCAAAAUUAAUUAACAAGUCAUAAAUAUAAUAAAAUAGUAAUACAGGGUUUAAAUCUCUAUAAGAGCCGCCUAGAGGUAACAAUACAUGUAGAAUUGAAAUCUUUUGAUUUGCUACUAAUGAAUAUAUUGUGUAAAACAAUGUCUCUUUGUUUUGUUGUGGCAACUAGAUAUCAUUACGCAUAGUUAACAGAAACAAAAUGUUGUCUUUGAUUGGGGUGAAUGAACUUGGAAGGGAAGAAAUAAAAUUCAAACUAUGUUAUGAACAAUUGUUUACUGCUAUCUCUAAUAUUUUCUUUCAAUUUUACCUACUCCAUUUCGUUCUCUCUGACAAAACACAACAUAAAUGUAUUGAAAUUACGAUUUAAAUCAUCAUGAGGCAUAAAUUACAUGACAAGUCAUUAUGCCUUCCUCAAGGUGCCUACGUACUCCAGAUAACAUCUAAGGCCAAUGUUAAGUCGGACAUAACCAUGCUGUUAUCCGAACAUCAGAACAGAAAUUUAACAACCAGUUGCGUGCUUAAUAUUAUCAUUAAACAUCAGAACAGAAAUUUAACAACCAGUUGCGUGCUUAAUAUUAUCAUUAAACAUCAGAACAGAAAUUUAACAACCAGUUGCGUGCUUAAUAUUAUCAUUAAACAUCAGAACAGAAAUUUAACAACCAGUUGCGUGCUUAAUAUUAUCAUUAAUGAAAACACGCAAACAACAUCUAAGUGACCAACCACAGAAAAUGAUCCAAUAAAGAUUCUACCAUAUAUCAUCACUAGGUACAACGGUACAAGAAUCUAACACAAAAAAAGUCAACGCGAAAAUAAAACAAACCUCG
rnacentral:lncRNA from 1 species